AAGACCUUGCACUUUUGGAGCGGCCGAUGUCUGAUUAGCUAGUUGGUGGGGUAAUGGCCUACCAAAGCUUCGAUCAGUAGCUGGUCUGAGAGGACGGCCAGCCACACUGGGACUGAGACACGGCCCAGACUCCUACGGGAGGCAGCAGUGGGGAAUUUUGGACAAUGGGCGCAAGCCUGAUCCAGCCAUGCCGCGUGAGUGAAGAAGGCCUUCGGGUUGUAAGGCUCUUUCAGCCGGGAAGAAAAGGUUGCGACUAAUAAUCGCAAUCCAUGACGGUACCGAAAGAAGAAGCACCGGCUAACUACGUGCCAGCAGCCGCGGUAAUACGUAGGGUGCGAGCGUUAAUCGGAAUUACUGGGCGUAAAGGGUGCGCAGGCGGUUUUGUAAGUCAGAUGUGAAAUCCCCGGGCUUAACCUGGGAACU
rnacentral:rRNA from 1 species